rnacentral:rRNA from 1 species
GCUUAGCCCUAAACAUAGAUAAUAACCUACUUAUUUUAUCCGCCCGGGUACUACGAGCGUUAGCUUAAAACCCAAAGGACUUGGCGGUGCUUUAGAUCCACCUAGAGGAGCCUGUUCUAGAACCGAUAAUCCCCGUUAAACCUCACCUUUCCUUGUCUUUUCCCGCCUAUAUACCGCCGUCGUCAGCUUACUCUGUGAAGAGUUAGUAGUAAGCACAAUUGGCACAGCCUAAAACGCCAGGUCGAGGUGUAGCGAAUGGAGGGGGAAGAAAUGGGCUACAUUCAAUACUAAUACUGAAUACGAAUGACGUUCUGAAAUUGAACGUCUGAAGGAGGAUUUAGUAGUAAGUAGGGAAUAGAGUGCCCUGCUGAAAUUGGCCCUGAAGCGCGU